UACGAGGGGGGCAAAUGUUGUUCGGAAUCACUGGGCGUAAAGGGAGCGUAGGCGGGUUUUUAAGUCAGGGGUGAAAUCCUGGAGCUCAACUCCAGAACUGCCUUUGAUACUGAAGAUCUUGAGUUCGGGAGAGGUGAGUGGAACUGCGAGUGUAGAGGUGAAAUUCGUAGAUAUUCGCAAGAACACCAGUGGCGAAGGCGGCUCACUGGCCCGAUACUGACGCUGAGGCACGAAAGCGUGGGGAGCAAACAGGG
rnacentral:rRNA from 1 species